rnacentral:misc_RNA from 1 species
GUAGCGGCUGCCUUUCAGUGUCUGAGCCUUCACACGCAAUUCCAAAAUCCCAACUAAGAAUGGCUCAAUCUCUGGAAUUGUUGCUUAUUCAAUUCUUGAUGCCUGACAACGAUGCUCGGAGGCAGGCUGAGGAGCAGAUUAAGAGGUUGGCUAAGGAUCCCCAGGUGGUUCCCGCCCUAGUCCAGCACCUUCGCACCGCUAAGACCCCCAACGUACGCCAACUCGCCGCUGUUCUCCUCCGUAAGAAGAUCACCGGCCACUGGGCCAAGCUCCCC